CUGUAAAUGAUUUGAUCAGUUUAGUGAAGUUUAGCUUAAACAAAUGGGGUAGGUGGGGGGGUAUAUGGACGCCCAAGAAGGUAAUAUAAUCCUUCCUCCAGUCGAAUGAGAACAGCUCACUCAAGUGUUUCAACCGGUGAGACUGGACUCCCACACCCAUAGCCUGUGAUUUAGCGACAUUUAAUUUGUAGUAGGAGUUAAGGCCGUAUUCUUUAAUGACUUCCAUGAGGUUUGGUAGUGAAAUUUGGGGUUGCGUUAGUGUCAGCAUGACAUCGUCCGCAAACAAGUUAAUUUUGUAUUCCCUGUCGCCCACUGUUACUCCGUGUAUGGAGCUGUUGGCCCGUAUUGUCUCCGCUAGCGGCUCUAAAGCCAACACAUAUAGUAAGGGGGAGAGUGGGCAUCCCUGCCUCGUACCGUUAGUAAUGCUAAAUGGUUCUGAAGUGAAGCCCGCCGUGACCACCUGUGCCGAUGGUUUGCUGUAUAAGGCCUCCACCGCCGAGCAGAAUGCCCCCGGCAUCCCAAACUUAUCCAGGACCGCUGUCAGGAACCUCCAGCUCAGGCGGUCAAAGGCCUUCUCCGCGUCUAGUGAGAGCGUUACACAUUCUGUAUGUUGCCUUUGAACGCUAUG